AUGCAGCUGACGAGUCCCAAAUAGGACGAAACAAGCGUCCUUGAU
rfam:Schistosoma curassoni strain Dakar, Senegal genome assembly, scaffold: SCTD_contig0007746